AUUGAACGCUGGCGGCAUGCCUUACACAUGCAAGUCGAACGGCAGCGGACCUUCGGGUGCCGGCGAGUGGCGAACGGGUGAGUAAUAUAUCGGAACGUACCUUUCAGUGGGGGAUAACGUAGCGAAAGUUACGCUAAUACCGCAUAUUCUGUGAGCAGGAAAGCAGGGGAUCGCAAGACCUUGCGCUGAUUGAGCGGCCGAUAUCAGAUUAGCUAGUUGGUGAGGUAAAGGCUCACCAAGGCGACGAUCUGUAGCGGGUCUGAGAGGAUGAUCGCCACACUGGAACUGAGACACGGUCCAGACUCCUACGGGAGGCAGCAGUGGGGAAUUUUGGACAAUGGGCGCAAGCCUGAUCCAGCCAUGCCGCGUGAGUGAAGAAGGCCUCGG
rnacentral:rRNA from 1 species